rnacentral:rRNA from 1 species
GUGGGGAAUUUUGGACAAUGGGCGCAAGCCUGAUCCAGCCAUGCCGCGUGAGUGAAGAAGGCCUUCGGGUUGUAAAGCUCUUUCAGCCGGAAAGAAAUCGCACUGGUUAAUACCUUGUGUGGAUGACGGUACCGGAAGAAGAAGCACCGGCUAACUACGUGCCAGCAGCCGCGGUAAUACGUAGGGUGCGAGCGUUAAUCGGAAUUACUGGGCGUAAAGCGUGCGCAGGCGGUUUUGUAAGACAGACGUGAAAUCCCCGGGCUUAACCUGGGAACUGCGUUUGUGACUGCAAGGCUAGAGUACGGCAGAGGGGGGUAGAAUUCCACGUGUAGCAGUGAAAUGCGUAGAUAUGUGGAGGAAUACCGAUGGCGAAGGCAGCCCCCUGGGUCGAUACUGACGCUCAUGCACGAAAGCGUGGGGAGCAAACAGGAUUAGAUACCCGAGUAGUCC